CCUACGGGCGGCAGCAGUGAGGAAUAUUGGUCAAUGGGCACGAGCCUGAACCAGCCAAGUCGCGUGAGGGAAGACGGUCCUAUGGAUUGUAAACCUCUUUUGUCGGGGAGCAAAAGACGCCACGCGUGGCGUUCUGAGAGUACCCGAAGAAAAAGCAUCGGCUAACUCCGUGCCAGCAGCCGCGGUAAUACGGCGGAUGCGAGCGUUAUCCGGAUGUAGUGGGUUUAAAGGGUGCGCAGGCGGAAGAUCAAGUCAGCGGUAAAAUUGAGCGGCUCAACCUCGUCGAGCCGUUGAAACUGGUUUUCUUGAGUGCGUGAGAAGUAUGCGGCAUGCGUGGUGUCGC
rnacentral:rRNA from 1 species